GACGAACGCUGGCGGCGUGCUUAACACAUGCAAGUCGAACGGAAAGGCCCUGCUUUUGUGGGGUGCUCGAGUGGCGAACGGGUGAGUAACACGUGAGUAACCUGCCCUUGACUUUGGGAUAACUUCAGGAAACUGGGGCUAAUACCGGAUAGGAGCUCCUGCUGCAUGGUGGGGGUUGGAAAGUUUCGGCGGUUGGGGAUGGACUCGCGGCUUAUCAGCUUGUUGGUGGGGUAGUGGCUUACCAAGGCUUUGACGGGUAGCCGGCCUGAGAGGGUGACCGGACACAUUGGGACUGAGAUACGGCCCAGACUCCUCCGGGAGGCAGCAGUGGGGAAUAGUGCACAAUGGGAGGAAGCAUGAUGCAGCAACGCCGCGUGCGGGAUGACGGCAUGCGGGUUGUAAACCGAUUUCGCCUGUGACGAAGCGUGAGUGACGGUAAUGGGUAAAGAAGCACCGGCUAACUACGUG
rnacentral:rRNA from 1 species